UACGAGGGGUGCAAGCGUUGCUCGGAAUUAUUGGGCGUAAAGGGUAGGUAGGUGGUCUUAUUUGUCUGGGGUGAAAGCCUUGAGCUUAACUCAAGAAGUGCCCCAGAAACGGUAAGACUGGAGUCCUGGAGAGGGUCGUGGAAUUCCCGGUGUAGCGGUGAAAUGCGUAGAGAUCGGGAGGAACACCAGAGGCGAAGGCGGCGACCUGGACAGGCACUGACACUCAACUACGAAAGCGUGGGGAGCAAACAGG
rnacentral:rRNA from 1 species